rnacentral:rRNA from 1 species
CCAGACUCCUACGGGAGGCAGCAGUGAGGAAUAUUGGUCAAUGGGCUUACGCCUGAACCAGCCAAGUCGCGUGAGGGAAGACUGCCCUAUGGGUUGUAAACCUCUUUUGUCAGGGAGCAACGCCGGCUACGUGUAGCCGGACUGAGAGUACCUGAAGAAAAAGCAUCGGCUAACUCCGUGCCAGCAGCCGCGGUAAUACGGAGGAUGCGAGCGUUAUCCGGAUUUAUUGGGUUUAAAGGGUGCGUAGGCGGACAGUCAAGUCAGCGGUAAAAAUGCGGUGCUCAACGCCGUACAGCCGUUGAAACUGGCGGUCUUGAGUGGGCGAGAAGUAUGCGGAAUGCGUGGUGUAGCGGUGAAAUGCAUAGAUAUCACGCAGAACUCCGAUUGCGAAGGCAGCAUACCGGCGCCCGACUGACGCUGAGGCACGAAAGCGUGGGUAUCGAACAGGAUUAGAUACCCGAGUAA